rnacentral:rRNA from 1 species
UACGGAGGGUGCAAGCGUUACCCGGAAUCACUGGGCGUAAAGGGCGUGUAGGCGGGAGUCUAAGUCCGGCUUUGAAGACCGAGGCUCAACCUCGGGAGUGGGCUGGGUACUGGAUUCCUGGACCUCUGGAGAGAGAACUGGAAUUCCUGGUGUAGCGGUGGAAUGCGUAGAUACCAGGAGGAACACCAACGGCGAAGGCAGGUUCUUGGACAGAAGGUGACGCUGAGGCGCGAAAGUGUGGGGAGCGAACCGG